rnacentral:rRNA from 1 species
CAAUAGCGUAUAUUUAAGUUGUUGCAGUUAAAAAGCUCGUAGUUGGAUUUCGGGUGGGACGCAGCGGUCUCGCACUGCGUUUGUACUGCUGCAGCCCUCCUUCUUGCCGGGGGCGGCCUCUCGGACUUCACUGUCUGGGGGUCAGAAUCGGCGAUGUUACUUUGAGUAAAUUAGAGUGUUCAAAGCAAGCUUACGCUCUGAAUAUAAUAGCAUGGGAUAACACGACAGGACUCUGGCCUAUCGUGUUGGUCUAUAGGACCAGAGUAAUGAUUAAGAGGGACAGUCGGGGGCAUUCGUAUUCCGUUGUCAGAGGUGAAAUUCUUGGAUUUACGGAAGACGAACAUCUGCGAAAGCAUUUGCCAAGGAUGUUUUCAUUGA